rnacentral:lncRNA from 1 species
AUGCCAGGUGUGACAGUGACAGUGACAAUGCCAGCACCACUCACCAGUAACUUGUUGUACUUUGGUCUCUUCCUGUGGUCCUUGGUGAGGCUGGGGGAGGGGAUGGGGGGUGAGCGCCUGCGGGACCCCAGCCCUGUCCCCAGUGUCCCCAAUGUCCUCGUGUCCCCAACGUCCCCUGCGUGUCCCCUGCGUGUCCCCUGCGUGUCCCCACUGUCCCCAGUGCUCCUCCAUGUCCCCUGUGUGUCCCCCAUAUCCCCACUGUCCCCUGUGUGUCCCCAGUGUCCCCCUGUCCCCCCUGUCCCCAGUGUCCCAGGUGUGUCCCAAAUGUCCCAGGUGUGUCCCCCUGUCCUCAGUGUGUCCCCAAUGUCCCGUGUGUCCCCCUGUCCCCUGUGUGUCCCCAGUGUCCCAGGUGUGUCCCCAAUGUCCCAGGUGUGUCCCCCUGUCCCAGGUGUGUCCCCCUGUCCCCUGUGUGUCCCCAGUGUCCCAGGUGUGUCCCCCUGUCCCAGGUGUGUCCCCCAUGUCCCCUGUGUGUCCCCAGUACCCAGGUGUGUCCCCAAUGUCCCAGGUGUGUCCCCCCUGUCCCAGGUGUGUCCCCCUGUCCCCUGUGUGUCCCCAGUGUCCCAGGUGUGUCCCCAAUGUCCCAGGUGUGUCCCCCCUGUCCCAGGUGUGUCCCCCUGUCCCCUGUGUGUCCCCAGUGUCCCAGGUGUGUCCCCAGUGUCCCAGGUGUGUCCCCCUGUCCCAGGUGUGUCCCCCUGUCCCCUGUGUGUCCCCAGUGUCCCAGGUGUGUCCCCAAUGUCCCAGGUGUGUCCCCCCUGUCCCAGGUGUGUCCCCCUGUCCCCUGUGUGUCCCCAGUGUCCCAGGUGUGUCCCCAAUGUCCCAGGUGUGUCCCCCCUGUCCCAGGUGUGUCCCCCUGUCCCCUGUGUGUCCCCAGUGUCCCAGGUGUGUCCCCAAUGUCCCAGGUGUGUCCCCCCUGUCCCAGGUGUGUCCCCCUGUCCCCUGUGUGUCCCCAGUGUCCCAGGUGUGUCCCCAGUGUCCCAGGUGUGUCCCCCUGUCCCAGGUGUGUCCCCCAUGUCCCCUGUGUGUCCCCAGUAUCCCAGGUGCGUCCCCCUGUCCCAGGUGUGUCCCCCUGUCCCCUGUGUGUCCCCAGUGUCCCAGGUGUGUCCCCAAUGUCCCAGGUGUGUCCCCCCUGUCCCAGGUGUGUCCCCCUGUCCCCUGUGUGUCCCCAGUGUCCCAGGUGUGUCCCCAGUGUCCCAGGUGCGUCCCCCUGUCCCAGGUGUGUCCCCCUGUCCCCUGUGUGUCCCCAGUGUCCCAGGUGUGUCCCCAGUGUCCCAGGUGUGUCCCCCUGUCCCAGGUGUGUCCCCCUGUCCCCUGUGUGUCCCCAGUGUCCCAGGUGUGUCCCCAGUGUCCCAGGUGUGUCCCCCUGUCCCAGGUGUGUCCCCCUGUCCCCUGUGUGUCCCCAGUGUCCCAGGUGUGUCCCCAGUGUCCCAGGUGUGUCCCCCUGUCCCAGGUGUGUCCCCCUGUCCCCUGUGUGUCCCCAGUGUCCCAGGUGUGUCCCCAGUGUCCCAGGUGUGUCCCCCUGUCCCAGGUGUGUCCCCCUGUCCCCUGUGUGUCCCCAGUGUCCCAGGUGUGUCCCCAGUGUCCCAGGUGUGUCCCCCUGUCCCAGGUGUGUCCCCCUGUCCCCUGUGUGUCCCCAGUGUCCCAGGUGUGUCCCCAGUGUCCCAGGUGUGUCCCCCUGUCCCAGGUGUGUCCCCCUGUCCCCUGUGUGUCCCCAGUGUCCCAGGUGUGUCCCCAGUGUCCCAGGUGUGUCCCCCUGUCCCAGGUGUGUCCCCCAUGUCCCCUGUGUGUCCCCAGUAUCCCAGGUGCGUCCCCCUGUCCCAGGUGUGUCCCCCUGUCCCCUGUGUGUCCCCAGUGUCCCAGGUGUGUCCCCAGUGUCCCAGGUGUGUCCCCCUGUCCCAGGUGUGUCCCCCUGUCCCCUGUGUGUCCCCAGUGUCCCAGGUGUGUCCCCAGUGUCCCAGGUGUGUCCCCCUGUCCCAGGUGUGUCCCCCUGUCCCCUGUGUGUCCCCAGUGUCCCAGGUGUGUCCCCAGUGUCCCAGGUGUGUCCCCGAACUGCCCCGUGGCCAGCUCCACCUGCGCAGGUGA